UCUGUUUGGAGAUAAAAAUAGUCUGACCUGCCCACUGAUUAAAGGAUUAAAGGGCCGCAGUAUUAUGACUGUGCAAAGGUAGCAUAAUCAUUAGGUUUUUAAAUGGAAUCUUGUAUGAAUGGUUGAACAAAGGAGAAGCUGUUUUAAUUUUAAAUUUUGAAUUUUACUUUUAAGUGAGAAGGCUUAAAUGUUUUAGAGGGACGAUAAGACCCUAUAAAGCUUUACUAUAAAAAUUGUAUUUAGUUGAAUUUGUAAUUAUUAAAAGGUUAAUAUAAGGUUUGUUUUAUUGGGGAGAUAGAGGCAGAAAUAAUUAAUAGCUGCUUAAAAGGUAGACAUUUAUUUAUGGGGAGUAAUAGAUCCUUAUUAUAGAUUAGAAGUUUAAGUUACUUUAGGGAUAACAGUAUAAUUUUUUUAAAGAGUUCAUAUCGAAAAAAAAGUUUGUAACCUCGAUGUUGAAUUAAAAUAUCUAUAUAAUGUAGUUGUUAUAUAAGAAGGU
rnacentral:rRNA from 1 species